AGUAGAUUGUGUGUGUGUUUGCUCAGCUGGUGGACAAAAGACAUGGAAGACAGGUGCAAAAAUAAAUCCUCUUUUGCAACCUAGAAUACAUUCUUCAAUAUGAGCAUUGAUACACUCAAGAAGGAAUAUG
ensembl:snoRNA